CUUGGCUUGGACGGCAAUACGCUUCGAACCUGGUCAGGUCUUGACAGAAGCAGCCAUAAGGGGCCCCUGUUGAGCGUCCAAGCCUUUUGU
rnacentral:SRP_RNA from 1 species